rnacentral:rRNA from 1 species
GGAUUAGAUACCCGGGUAGUCCACGCCGUAAACGUUGGGCGCUAGAUGUGGGGACCAUUCCACGGUUUCCGUGUCGUAGCUAACGCAUUAAGCGCCCCGCCUGGGGAGUACGGCCGCAAGGCUAAAACUCAAAGGAAUUGACGGGGGCCCGCACAAGCGGCGGAGCAUGCGGAUUAAUUCGAUGCAACGCGAAGAACCUUACCAAGGCUUGACAUACACCGGACGCUUCCAGAGAUGGUUGUUUCCUUUUGGACUGGUGUACAGGUGGUGCAUGGUUGUCGUCAGCUCGUGUCGUGAGAUGUUGGGUUAAGUCCCGCAACGAGCGCAACCCUCGUUCUAUGUUGCCAGCGGUUCGGCCGGGGACUCAUAGGAGACUGCCGGGGUCAACUCGGAG